rnacentral:rRNA from 1 species
AGAGUUUGAUCCUGGCUCAGGAUGAACGCUAGCUACAGGCUUAACACAUGCAAGUCGAGGGGAAACGACAUCGAAAGCUUGCUUUUGAUGGGCGUCGACCGGCGCACGGGUGAGUAACGCGUAUCCAACCUGCCCACCACUUGGGGAUAACCUUGCGAAAGUAAGACUAAUACCCAAUGACGUCUCUAGAAGACAUCUGAAAGAGAUUAAAGAUUUAUCGGUGAUGGAUGGGGAUGCGUCUGAUUAGCUUGUUGGCGGGGUAACGCCACAAGGCGACGAUCAGUAGGGGUUCUGAGAGGAAGGUCCCCCANAUUGGAACUGAGACACGGUCCAAACGUCCGUACGGGAGGCA